GACGAACGCUGGCGGCGCGCUUACCACAUGCAAGUCGAGCGAAGCGGCGGACGGGUGAGUAACACGCGAGUAACCUGCCUUAGACAUUGGGAUAGCCUCGGGAAACCGGGAUUACUACCCAAUGGUCUACGAUGGACUCGCGUCCCAUUAUCUAGUUGGUGAGGUAACGGCCCACCAAGGCGACGAUGGGUAGCCGGCCUGAGAGGGUGAACGGCCACAUUGGGACUGAGAAACGGUCCAAACUCUACGGGAGGCAGCAGUGGGGAAUAUUGCACAAGGGAGGGAACUCUGAUGCAGGGACGCCGCGUGAACGAAGAAGGCUUUCGAGUCGUAAAGUUCUUUUAUAUGGGAAGCGGUACCAUAAGAAAAAGCCCCGGCUAACUACGUGCCAGCAGCCGCGGUAAUAC
rnacentral:rRNA from 1 species